rnacentral:rRNA from 1 species
UACGUAGGGUGCAAGCGUUAAUCGGAAUUACUGGGCAUAAAGGGUGCGUAGGCGGUUUGUUAAGUCACAGGUGAAAGUUUUCGGCCCAACCGGAAAACUUGCCCGUGAUACUGGCGAACUUGAGUGCGUGAGGGUGGGGGACGAGCAGUGUAGCGUGAAAUGCGUAGAUAUUGCUCGGAAGGCCGGAGCCGAAGGGCCCCACUGGUACGCAACUGACG